CCAGACUCCUACGGGAGGCAGCAGUGAGGAAUAUUGGUCAAUGGCCGGAAGGCUGAACCAGCCAAGCCGCGUGAAGGACGAAGGUGCCAAGCAUUGUAAACUUCUUUUGUCAAGGGACAAAAUCAGGCUCGAGAGCCUGACCGAGGGUACUUGAAGAAAAAGCAUCGGCUAACUCCGUGCCAGCAGCCGCGGUAAUACGGAGGAUGCGAGCGUUAUCCGGAUUUAUUGGGUUUAAAGGGUGCGUAGGCGGGGCUGUUAGGCAGGGGAAAAAACCCGGGGCCCCACCCCGGGCGAGCCGUUGAAACUGGGGAUCUAGAGUGUGCGAGAGGUAUGCGGAAUGCGUGGUGUAGCGGUGAAAUGCAUAGAUAUCACGCAGAACCCCGAUUGCGAAGGCAGCAUACCGGUGCACAACUGACGCUCAGGCACGAAAGCGUGGGUAUCGAACAGGAUUAGAUACCCCAGUA
rnacentral:rRNA from 1 species